UGUGUGUGUGUGUGUACAGGGAACUCUAGCACAUGCUAGAAAAACGCUCUACAGCUGAGUCAAAUCCCCAGCCUGACAUAUUUUUUCAAAUGCCAUAAAUCUGACAGUUAGGAACUUUAUAUAACUGGUAAUACCUUCAUCUUUUUAGCAUGAGCCACAUACCCAAUAGGGUAUGAAGUACUUCAGAGAAAAUCCAAGCUGGUGUGAUAGUUUUUUGCUGUUAUCUUAGCAGGUAUGAUGUUGCAACAAGAGCUUCGCUUGAGCCCAAGAAUUCAAGAGCAGCCUCAGCAACACAAACCCAGGUAAGGGUGGGAAAAGAACUGAUUCCACAAAGUUGUCCUACGACCAUUCCACCCAUGAUGCAGACCUACAACAAAGACUGAUGCAAGAGGAUUGCAAGUUCAAGGCCUGCUUGGGCUAUAGAGAGAACUCAAGACAAGUUAGACAACGUGGUAAGACCCCGUCUCAAAAUUA